GGAUGGCAAUAGUGCAGUGGUUAGCUCAAAUGUUUAGUCCAGUGGGUCUUGGGAUCGAAUCCCAGGCUAGCCC
rnacentral:tRNA from 1 species